rnacentral:piRNA from 1 species
UAGCAAAGUGUCCAGCAUGGUGCGGUGGC